UACGGAAGGCAGCAGUGGGGAAUAUUGCACAAUGGGCGCAAGCCUGAUGCAGCCAUGCCGCGUGUAUGAAGAAGGCCUUCGGGUUGUAAAGUACUUUCAGCGGGGAGGAAGGCGAUGCGGUUAAUAACCGCGUCGAUUGACGUUACCCGCAGAAGAAGCACCGGCUAACUCCGUGCCAGCAGCCGCGGUAAUACGGAGGGUGCAAGCGUUAAUCGGAAUUACUGGGCGUAAAGCGCACGCAGGCGGUCUGUUAAGUCAGAUGUGAAAUCCCCCGGGCUUAACCUGGGAACUGCAUUUUGAACUGGCAGGCUUGAGUCUUGUAGAGGGGGUAGAAUUCCAGGUGUAGCGGUGAAAUGCGUAGAGAUCGUGGAGGAAUACCGGUGGCGAAGGCGGCCCCUGGGACAAGACUGACGCUCAGGGUGCGAAAGCGUGGGGAGCAAACGAGGAUUAGGAUACC
rnacentral:rRNA from 1 species